rnacentral:rRNA from 1 species
AACACUGAGGCGUGACGACGAGGCACUACGGUGCUGAAGCAACAAAUGCCCUGCUUCCAGGAAAAGCCUCUAAGCAUCAGGUAACAUCAAAUCGUACCCCAAACCGACACAGGUGGUCAGGUAGAGAAUACCAAGGCGCUUGAGAGAACUCGGGUGAAGGAACUAGGCAAAAUGGUGCCGUAACUUCGGGAGAAGGCACGCUGACACGUAGGUGAAGUGAUUUACUCAUGGAGCUGAAGUCAGUCGAAGAUACCAGCUGGCUGCAACUGUUUAUUAAAAACACAGCACUGUGCAAACACGAAAGUGGACGUAUACGGUGUGACGCCUGCCCGGUGCCGGAAGGUUAAUUGAUGGGGUCAGCGCAAGCGAAGCUCCUGAUCGAAGCCCCGGUAAACGGCGGCCGUAACUAUAACGGUCCUAAGGUAGCGAAAUUCCUUGUCGGGUAAGUUCCGACCUGCACGAAUGGCGUAAUGAUGGCCAGGCUGUCUCCACCCGAGACUCAGUGAAAUUGAACUCGCUGUGAAGAUGCAGUGUACCCGCGGCAAGACGGAAAGACCCCGUGAACCUUUACUAUAGCUUGACACUGAACAUUGAGCCUUGAUGUGUAGGAUAGGUGGGAGGCUUUGAAGUGUGGACGCCAGUCUGCAUGGAGCCGACCUUGAAAUACCACCCUUUAAUGUUUGAUGUUCUAACGUGGACCCGUUACCCGGGUUGCGGACAGUGUCUGGUGGGUAGUUUGACUGGGGCGGUCUCCUCCUAAAGAGUAACGGAGGAGCACGAAGGUUGGCUAAUCCUGGUCGGACAUCAGGAGGUUAGUGCAAUGGCAUAAGCCAGCUUGACUGCGAGCGUGACGGCGCGAGCAGGUGCGAAAGCAGGUCAUAGUGAUCCGGUGGUUCUGAAUGGAAGGGCCAUCGCUCAACGGAUAAAAGGUACUCCGGGGAUAACAGGCUGAUACCGCCCAAGAGUUCAUAUCGACGGCGGUGUUUGGCACCUCGAUGUCGGCUCAUCACAUCCUGGGGCUGAAGUAGGUCCCAAGGGUAUGGCUGUUCGCCAUUUAAAGUGGUACGCGAGCUGGGUUUAGAACGUCGUGAGACAGUUCGGUCCCUAUCUGCCGUGGGCGCUGGAGAACUGAGGGGGGCUGCUCCUAGUACGAGAGGACCGGAGUGGACGCAUCACUGGUGUUCGGGUUGUCAUGCCAAUGGCACUGCCCGGUAGCUAAAUGCGGAAGAGAUAAGUGCUGAAAGCAUCUAAGCACGAAACUUGCCCCGAGAUGAGUUCUCCCUGAGACUUAAAGUCUCCUGAAGGAACGUUGAAGACGACGACGU